rnacentral:rRNA from 1 species
GCCAGAGCCAUAUCUCCCUGCAGUUCUGGCCUGGUUUCCCAACUGAAGCUAAGCAGGGUUGAGCCUGGCCAGUACCUGGAUGGGAGACCUCCUGGGGAAAACGAAGGUUUCUGCUGGAA